UAAAAACUUAAAAUUUAAAAGACUUGACGGUACUUCACACCAGCCUAGAGGAGCCUGUCCAAUAACCGAUAACCCACGAUUAACCCCACCCCUUCUAGCCUACAGUCUAUAUACCGCCGUCGCCAGCCUACCUUGUGAAAGAAUCAAAGUAAGCCAAACAGCACCGCACUAGCACGACAGGUCGAGGUGUAACUAAUGAAGCGGUACGGAUGGGCUACAUUUUCUAACCCAGAAAACACGGAUAAACCAUGAAACUAAACACUGAAGGCGGAUUUAGCAGUAAGUUAAGAACAAAGUACUUAACCGAAAUUAACGCAAUGAAGUGCGC
rnacentral:rRNA from 1 species